rnacentral:rRNA from 2 species
UAGGGAAUCUUCGGCAAUGGGGGGAACCCUGACCGAGCAACGCCGCGUGAGUGAAGAAGGUUUUCGGAUCGUAAAGCUCUGUUGUUAAGGAAGAACGAGUGUGAGAAUGGAAAGUUCAUGCUGUGACGGUACUUAACCAGAAAGGGACGGCUAACUACGUGCCAGCAGCCGCGGUAAUACGUAGGUCCCGAGCGUUGUCCGGAUUUAUUGGGCGUAAAGCGAGCGCAGGCGGUUAGAAAAGUCUGAAGUGAAAGGCAGUGGCUCAACCAUUGUAGGCUUUGGAAACUGUUUAACUUGAGUGCAGAAGGGGAGAGUGGAAUUCCAUGUGUAGCGGUGAAAUGCGUGGAUAUAUGGAGGAACACCGGUGGCGAAAGCGGCUCUCUGGUCUGUAACUGACGCUGAGGCUCGAAAGCGUGGGGAGCGAACAGG